AUCAUUCAGAGCCCUAUGAUUUAUCAGGGUGAUGGACUGCCUUUUGCAUAAUGAGCCUGCGAGUUGUGGUGUCCGGCAAGGUUAAGUAAACACGGAGCCGUAGCGAAAGCGAGUCUUAAUAGGGCGUUUAGUCGGAUGCUGCAGACCCGAAACGAUGUGAUCUAUCCAUGAGCAGAUUGAAACCGGUGUAAGAACCGGCGGAGGAUCGAACAGACGGCCAUUGAAACGGCUCCUGAUGACUUGUGGAUAGGGGUGAAAGGCCAAUCAAACAUCGUGAUAGCUGGUUCUCUUCGAAAUAUAUCGAGGUAUAGCGUUGUGUCGUAAUUAUAAGGGGUAGAGCACUGAAUGGGCUAGGGCAUACACCAAUGUACCAACCCCUAUCAAACUCCGAAUACUUAUAAUGUAAUCACAGCAGUCAGGCGGCGAGUGAUAAAAUCCGUCGUCGAAAGGGGAACAACCCAGACUACCGACUAAGGUCCCUAAAUCUUAUUUAAGUGGAAAACGAUGUGAAGUUACUUAAACAACCAGGAGGUUGGCUUAGAAGCAGCCAUCCUUUAAAGAUAGCGUAAUAGCUCACUGGUCUAGUGAUUUUGCGCGGAAAAUAUAACGGGGCUAAAAUAAGUACCGAAGUCGUAGAUUUACACAAUAGUGUAAGUGGUAGAAGAGCGUUGUAUUUAGCGUUGAAGGCGUACCGGUAAGGAGCGCUGGAGCAUAUACAAGUGAGCAUGCAGGCAUGAGUAGCGAUAAUUAAUGUAAGAAUCAUUAACGCCGAAAACCCAAGGUUUCCUACGCGAUGCUCGUCAUCGUAGGGUUAGUCGGGUCCUAAGCAAAGUCCGAAAGGGGUAUGCGAUGGAAAAUCGGUUAAUAUUCCGAUACCAACAUUAUUGUGCGAUGGAAGGACGCUUAAAGUUAAUGGGGCUAAGUGAUGGAAUACUUAGUCUAAGGAUGUAGGUUAAGUUGUAGGCAAAUCCGCAACUUUUUAUCCGAGAUCUAAAAGGCUUACAAAACUCUUCGGAGUAGCGUAAGAACCCAUGAUACUAUCGAGCCGAGAAAAGUUUCUAAGUUUAGAUAAUGUUGCCCGUACCGUAAACCGACACAGGUGGGUGGGAUGAGUAUUCUAAGGCGCGUGGAAGAACUCUCUUUAAGGAACUCUGCAAAAUAGCACCGUAUCUUCGGUAUAAGGUGUGCCUAACUUUGUGAAAGAUUUACUCUAUAAGCAAAGAAGGUUACAACAAAGAGUCCCUCCCGACUGUUUACCAUAAACACAGCACUCUGCUAACACGUAAGUGGAUGUAUAGGGUGUGACGCCUGCCCGGUGCUCGAAGGUUAAUUGAUGAUGUCAGGAGUAAUCCAAAGCAUUUGAUCGAAGCCCGAGUAAACGGCGGCCGUAACUAUAACGGUCCUAAGGUAGCGAAAUUCCUUGUCGGUUAAAUACCGACCUGCAUGAAUGGCGUAACGAGAUGGGAGCUGUCUCAAAGAGGGAUCCAGUGAAAUUGUAGUGGAGGUGAAAAUUCCUCCUACCCGCGGCAAGACGGAGAGACCCCGUGGACCUUUACUACAGCUUGACACUGCUACUUGGAUAAAGAUGCGCAGGAUAGGUGGUAGGCUUUGAUCUAUAGACUCCGGUUUAUAGUGAGCCAUUGGUGAGAUACCACUCUUCUUUAUUCGAUUAGCUAACUAGCAUAAGUUAUCCUUAUGUAG
rnacentral:rRNA from 1 species